rnacentral:rRNA from 1 species
AACGCUAGCUACAGGCUUAACACAUGCAAGUCGAGGGGAAACGAUAGAGAAAGCUUGCUUUUUCUAGGCGUCGACCGGCGCACGGGUGAGUAACGCGUAUCCAACCUGCCCACCACUUGGGGAUAACCUUGCGAAAGUAAGACUAAUACCCAAUGAUAUCUCUAGAAGGCAUCUGAAGGAGAUUAAAGAUUUAUCGGUGAUGGAUGGGGAUGCGUCUGAUUAGCUUGUUGGCGGGGUAACGGCCCACCAAGGCGACGAUCAGUAGGGGUUCUGAGAGGAAGGUCCCCCACAUUGGAACUGAGACACGGUCCAAACUCCUACGGGAGGCAGCAGUGAGGAAUAUUGGUCAAUGGGCGAGAGCCUGAACCAGCCAAGUAGCGUGCAGGAUGACGGCCCUAUGGGUUGUAAACUGCUUUUAUAAGGGAAUAAAGUGAGCCUCGUGAGGCUUUUUGCAUGUACCUUAUGAAUAAGGACCGGCUAAUUCCGUGCCAGCAGCCGCGGUAAUACGGAAGGUCCGGGCGUUAUCCGGAUUUAUUGGGUUUAAAGGGAGCGUAGGCCGGAGAUUAAGCGUGUUGUGAAAUGUAGUGGCUCAACCUCUGCACUGCAGCGCGAACUGGUCUUCUUGAGUACGCACAAUGUGGGCGGAAUUCGUGGUGUAGCGGUGAAAUGCUUAGAUAUCACGAAGAACUCCGAUUG